rnacentral:SRP_RNA from 1 species
UGUGGCCGGGUAAGUCUCAUACGACCAGCUCCUGCUGAACUCCCCCAGGACCGGAAGGUAGCAAGGGUAGGUGGUUGUAGCGGUGCGAUAUGAGUAGCUUACCCUUUU